GCCGGGGUGGCCUAGCCUGGUAGGGCGCGCGCUUGGAAAGCGCGUUCCCGCAAGGGAUCGGGAGUUCAAAUCUCCCUCCCGGCG
rnacentral:tRNA from 1 species